GAUGAAGAACGCAGCGAAAUGCGAUAAGUAGUGUGAAUUGCAGAAUUCCGUGAAUCAUCGAAUCUUUGAACGCACAUUGCGCCUUCUGGUAUUCCGGAAGGCAUGCCUGUUCGAGAGUCAUUAACAACCGUUUCGAUCCCUUUCUUUCAGAAAUUACAAAGAGGAAAAGGGUUUGGUUAUGGUGGAGGAGGGAAAGGGAGCGUUUAGCCUGUAAAAAAAGAGGCUGUGUUCCGCCUCCCCCCCAAAAUUGUACAGGCGGUCGUGUGCGCCCACGCAUCGAGGUGCUGUAAAAGCUGCCACGGCACUUUUCACCUGUGCAGUGCGAGAUUGGCCAGCCGGUUUAAAAACCCCUCCAAACAAUCAAAGGUUGACCUCGGAUCAGGUAGGGAUACCCGCUGAACUUAAGCAUAUCAAUAAGCGGAGGA
rnacentral:misc_RNA from 1 species